ensembl:ncRNA R07B1.23 ncRNA
GUGAAAAAAGUGGUGUGGUAAGAUGAGGGGAAACGCGAGAAUCACUUGUUAAGAAAACAAUCAUGUUAAUGCUUGUCACCAACACCCGGUGUUUGUCAUUUAUCAUCUGUGAAAUGGGUUUUUAACAACCGGGAAUCUUAAAAG